UUCCCCCCCAACCCCAACAGGUUUGCAGUGCAGACCGUCAAAGCCCUGCUGCGCCAGCUGCUGGAUGAGGACGUGGUGAUGGUGAUCCAUCGCAAGUGUGGCUGGGACAUGCUCCUCAAGGCUGACAGCCACCACUAUGCAGUGGGUCUGCUGGCCAGGGAGCUGUGCCGUGUCUC